rnacentral:rRNA from 1 species
AACGCUGGCGGCGUGCCUAACACAUGCAAGUCGAACGAGAAAACGGGGGCAACCCUGUGAGUACAGUGGCAGACGGGUGAGUAACACGUGAACAAUCUACCCUCGAGUGGGGAAUAACUCCGCGAAAGCGGGGCUAAUACCGCAUAACGUCCCUGGUUCGCAUGAACUGGGGAUCAAAGGCUUCGGUCGCUUGAGGAGGAAUUCGCGCCUGAUUAGCUAGUUGGUGAGGUAACGGCCCACCAAGGCAACGAUCAGUAGCCGGCCUGAGAGGGCGUACGGCCACACUGGAACUGAGACACGGUCCAGACUCCUACGGGAGGCAGCAGUGGGGAAUUUUGCGCAAUGGGCGAAAGCCUGACGCAGCAACGCCGUGUGGAGGAUGAAGGCCUUCGGGUCGUAAACUCCUGUCAGGGGGGACGAAAAUUGCGAAAGCGAUCUGACUGUACCCUCUGAGGAAGCCACGGCUAACUCCGUGCCAGCAGCCGCGGUAAUACGGAGGUGGCAAGCGUUGUUCGGAAUUACUGGGCGUAAAGGGCGCGUAGGCGGCUUGGAAAGUCAGAUGUGAAAGCCCCGGGCUUAACUCGGGAAUUGCAUCUGAAACUUCUUUGCUUGAGUUCUGGAGGGGGUAGCGGAAUUCCCAGUGUAGCGGUGAAAUGCGUAGAUAUUGGGAGGAACACCAGCGGCGAAGGCGGCUACCUGGACAGUGACUGACGCUGAGGCGCGAAAGCUAGGGGAGCAAACG